rnacentral:rRNA from 1 species
GUAGGUGGCAAGCGUUGUCCGGAAUUAUUGGGCGUAAAGCGCGCGCAGGCGGUCCUUUAAGUCUGAUGUGAAAGCCCACGGCUCAACCGUGGAGGGUCAUUGGAAACUGGGGGACUUGAGUACAGAAGAGGAAAGCGGAAUUCCAAGUGUAGCGGUGAAAUGCGUAGAGAUUUGGAGGAACACCAGUGGCGAAGGCGGCUUUCUGGUCUGUAACUGCCGCUGAGGCGCGAAAGCGUGGGGAGCAAACAGGAUUAGAUACCCUGGUAGUCCACGCCGUAAACGAUGAGUGCUAAGUGUUAGGGGGUUUCCCGCCCCCCUUAGUGCUGCAGCUAACGCAUUAAGCACUCCGCCUGGGGAGUACGGCCGCAAGGCUG